CCUACGGGUGGCAGCAGUGAGGAAUAUUGGUCAAUGGGAGAGAUCCUGAACCAGCCAAGCCGCGUGAGGGAAGACGGCACUAUGGGUUGUAAACCUCUUUUGUCGGAGAACAAAACCCGGGACGUGUCCCGGACUGCGUGUAUCCGAAGAAAACGCAUAGUCUAACUCCGUGCCAGCAGCCGCGGUAAUACGGAGGAUGCGAGCGUUAUCCGGAUGUAUUGGGUUGAAAGGGUGCGUAGGCGGUCCGGUAAGUCAGCGGUAAAAGUGCGGGGCUCAACCCCGUCGAGCCGUUGAAACUGGCAGACUUGAGUUGGCGAGAAGUACGCGGAAUGCGCGUUGUAGCGGUGAAAUGCAUAGAUAUCGCGCAGAACUCCGAUUGCGAAGGCAGCGUACCGGCGCCAGACUGACGCUGAGGCACGAAAGCGUGGGGAUCGAACAGGAUUAGAUACCCUGGUAGUC
rnacentral:rRNA from 1 species